rnacentral:rRNA from 1 species
UACGGAGGAUGCGAGCGUUAUCCGGAUUUAUUGGGUUUAAAGGAUGCGUAGGCGGGCUUUUAAGUCAGCGGUAAAAAUUCGGGGCUCAACCCCGUCCGGCCGUUGAAACUGGGGGUCUUGAGUGGGCGAGAAGAAGGCGGAAUGCGUGGUGUAGCGGUGAAAUGCAUAGAUAUCACGCAGAACCCCGAUUGCGAAGGCAGCCUUCCGGCGCCCUACUGACGCUGAGGCACGAAAGUGCGGGGAUCGAACAGG